AGUUAACGCAAUAAGUACCCCGCCUGGGGAGUACGACCGCAAGGUUGAAACUCAAAGGAAUUGACGGGGGCCCGCACAAGCGGUGGAGUAUGUGGUUUAAUUCGACGCAACGCGAAGAACCUUACCAGGUCUUGACAUUGAUGGACAGAACCAGAGAUGGUUCCUCUUCUUCGGAAGCCAGAAAACAGGUGGUGCACGGUUGUCGUCAGCUCGUGUCGUGAGAUGUUGGGUUAAGUCCCGCAACGAGCGCAACCCCUAUCUUAUGUUGCCAGCACUUCGGGUGGGGACUCGUGAGAGACUGCCGCAGACAAUGCGGAGGAAGGCGGGGAUGACGUCAAAUCAUCAUGCCCCUUAUGACCUGGGCUACACACGUACUACAAUGGGAGUUAAUAGACGGAAGCGAGAUCGCGAGAUGGAGCAAACCCGAGAAACACUCUCUCAGUUCGGAUCGUAGGCUGCAACUCGCCUACGUGAAGUCGGAAUCGCUAGUAAUCGCAGGUCAGCAUACUGCGGUGAAUACGUUCCCGGGCCUUGUACACACCGCCCGUCACACCACGAAAGUCGGAAGUGCCCAAAGCC
rnacentral:rRNA from 1 species